ACUAAUCUCUCUAUAUUAUAAAUCAUGUUGCAUAUUUCCCUCAAGUUUGUCCCUCUACAUUUUCAUUUAUUUCGUUAUACGGUCAUUGCCACACACGUGUUCCUUCCCCAACCACAUAACUCUCUCUCCAUUACCUACUUUACAUUACAGACAUUACAGACGCUUUAAUUUGAAUUUUGAAACUACAACCAUACGCUCUCGGACGUCUUGCUCUUCCCCAAACACACGCUCUUCCCCUUUUGAUUUCAUUCAAAUUAAACAUAUUUGUGGCUUGCUUCUUCUCUCGCUCAUAUAGAAUUCAAUCUUCAUCUCGAUUUGAAUUUCAAAUAUCGGUUUUUUUUCUUAAUCUUCUGGUUUUGUUAUCUUCUUGUAAUCAUGUUAGUUUGUCGAUAGAAAUUUGCUGUAGAUGAAAUCAUGUUGUUCCUGCAUGUUAUGAUUUUAAAUUUAUGGUUGUGAUUGUUUUGUGCCACUCAGGUUUAUUAGCAUGCUUUCUAAGUGUUUGAUAGAAUUCCUGACCCAAGUUUCUUUCUUUUUGUAGAUUUAAUGUUUUCCGAGGUUAGUUUACUCAUCAAGUGUUUGAUAUAAGAGCUUUCUAUUUUGGCAGAUUUUAUGUUUUGCGAGGUUAAUUUACUCAUCAAGUGUUUGAUAUAAGAGCUUGAUAUGAUUCAAUAUUUUGCUUAGGCUCGUUUACUCACCAAGUGUUUGAUAUAUAAUUGUUGAAUGUUUUGAUAUGAUUUUUCUGUGAUUUCAUAAUAAAACAAGUAUAGCUUUUGUAAUCUUUGUAUGACAUGGUGGGUGAUUUUCUGUUUUAUGAAUUACAAGUUCAACACUGUAA